GGAUAGCUCAGUUGGUUAGAGUGUGGCACUGAUAAUGCCAAGGUUGCAGGAAUGACCCCCACAUGGAACA